GUUUUCUAUAUGUGGGAGAAGACACGUGCUCCUCUCCCCUGCCCCAAACUACAAAACCGCCUUUCCAGUCCUUUCUGUCCCCAAGACUCACGAGUGUCUCAUUGCCGAUCCCCUCCCCUUUCCCUCUUUCUCCAGCCCGCACCCUCCACCCCCGGCCCAUCACAUGCCUUCUCCAACUCGGGGGCUUGUCAGCCAGAUCUCAGGGUUGUCCCCAACUCCCUCCUUUUUCACUUUGCAUGUCCUUCCGGUUUCCUGACGCUGGCAGUCCUCUGUCACAGUGCCCUCCUGGGGUCUUGUUGCACCGUCCCCCCGAUGUCAAACCUGCCUGAUCUUCCUAAUGCACCACUGCAGUCAUGUCAUAGCGAUUUUCACCCUAAUGACAUCCUCACAGUCAGUCCGCUCAGCCCAGCUCGUUUUGUUAGCUCAGUUUCCUAGUAUUUCACAGGUGAGUUCAAAUAAAUCGCUCCCUCUCCGUCUUACGAACUUGCCUCUGCUCCCCCACCUCCCCAGCUUUGCUCGAAUCUUCCCUCCGCUGGGAAGACCCCCUCUCGUACCCACUCGGUGAAAUCCUAACCAUUUUCCCUAGACAUCAGUGCUGUUGGCUGGUUUUGAUUUUCCUCUACUGAGCACCAGAAUGUCACCUUCCGCCCCUGUGAUGUCAGGCAUGGCCACAUGACUAGUUCCGGGUAACGAGACGGUGCGGAAGCAGGGUGUCGCUUCCGGGUGGAAGUGUUUAAGAGCCGGUGAGUGACCGGUCAGCUCUGUCUUCCUUGGCUGCAGUGCCUGUGCAGGAGCGGGGGAGCCGCGACACGGAGCAGCCCAGUCUCAGCCACGACCAGCCCUGCAGGGCCACCGGGCCCCACGGUGCAACAGCGUCGGGAUCCUGGCUCCUUCUCGUUCUUCCCCGUCUGUUCCCUUCCCAGGCCACUGCCGCGCUUGUUUGCAGGAAAUAGAAGACUCAACUGUGACCAGCUAAUGAAAAGAAAAUGAAAAAUCACUCUCACUGCAAGAUAAAAAUUGGCUUCUGAGGUUCGACCUGCUAUGGGACUCUGACACAAUAUUAAUGAUGAUGCAUUAUUUUUCAAUAACAAAUUCUGCCCCGAGCCUCAGUAAUACUGUCGUAUUCUCUUCUGUUUCCAGUUUCUAUUUGAAGAGAGGGCAGCAUCCCUUAACUUUUAUAUCUUCUUCCUCACCUCCUGGAUGUCUGCCAAUAUUAGAUAUUGAUCACACACUGUAACAUCACUACCCCUACCAGGGUUUAUGGCGUUUAAAAAUUCUUACCAGACCUUCUUGUAAAAAUUUCACAGGGAGAUCACGAAAUAUUAAGCCACAUGAAACAGCACUUCUUUUUGUCAAAACAUUUCAUUGUAACUUCUGUUUAAGGAAAGCACCCCAACCACCAAAUUCUCCUCAAUGUUAGUUUCCUUAAAAAACGACUUUCCGGUGUGCUUCUGGAGGUUUCCUUGCAAGCCCCACCCCCGAAGAUGGGUGCUUGGACGGGCGUUUUGGUUUAUUGGUGAAGAGUUGAGCUUCCUGUUCAGUCUGUGACCAAUUUCCCCCCGUACCUGUUUACAUUUACGAUGGUUACGGCUUAAACAAUAGAACAUGAUGUAAAGAAUAUUUGUUAGCUAAGCAGAGGGGCUUCAUGGGCUGUCUGGCCGUAACGGAUGAGACGUGUCUGAUGGGGGCGGGCUGGAGCGACUUACACAUCUGCCCUGACUUGAGGUCCUGUAUAAACGUCGCGAACUUUCCGAAGGCCUCGUUGCCGGUGGAGGAAGUUCCGAGGGGCGUGCAGUCCUCCUGUUACCGCUUCUGUGGCUCCACUCGGGCUGGCCGCCUGGUUAUGUCCUGCACCCUCCCGACAGUGUCCUCCCCCGUAACAUGGGGCUGUCAGCCCCUGCUGGCUAAUGACAGCGUGAGGACAAGCAGAAGGCCAGCACUUGGCAGCCACCGAGGCUUUGUUUUCUGCCCCCUCC